rnacentral:rRNA from 3 species
GUGUAACAAGGUUUCCGUAGGUGAACCUGCGGAAGGAUCAUUA